GGCCUAAUAGUUUAGUGGAAGAAUGGUAGUUUAGGGAACUAUUGACCCGUGUUCGAUUCUCGGUUAGGCCC